UCCUCUAGGCAUUGGUGUUACUGUUGCUAUUCUGCAAUUUAUUGAAGACUAUGAACAGUUUUCAUCAAAAUCUUGACAUCUUGACCUGCUGCACCAAGGCAGCAAAUUGUUAUUGGCCACCGUGAUCAUCAGACACGAAGUGCUAGGCUCUACAUUGGUUGCCGGAGGUGCUUCACAUCACGAUGAAUGUCUGGUAGAAUUAGUUGAAGCAUUUUACGCUCGUGUUCUUGCCAUGGUUCCUAUCAGGGAUUACUUCCCCACAACCCCCACCUGACAUGCCAAACUAUUGUCGCUAAACUUCGAUGAGGUAGUCGGA
rnacentral:lncRNA from 1 species